GCAGCCAUGGCCCUGAUCAGAAUUUAAUUCUUCCGAAUGAAAUUCCAAACCGAAAAUAAUACAGAAUUUCAUCCGAACAUGAAUGGACAUUCUCUUCAGAUGAAAUUUGAUAAUUUCACCGGAACCCUAGUCUACAUGACUGAACUUCUGGGAUGACGAAACAAAGCAACACAAGAACAGAACAGAAGGGUGAGUAUUGUAGGAAACUUUCUUUGACACAGAAAAUGGAGCUGACGUAAGCUCCUGCUCAUGUCAAAGAAAGUCAAGCGUAG